GAUGAACGCUGGCGGCGUGCCUAAUACAUGCAAGUCGAGCGAACGGACGAGAAGCUUGCUUCUCUGAUGUUAGCGGCGGACGGGUGAGUAACACGUGGAUAACCUACCUAUAAGACUGGGAUAACUUCGGGAAACCGGAGCUAAUACCGGAUGAUAUUCUGAACCGUAUGGUUCAAAAGUGAAAGACGGUCUUGCUGUCACUUAUAGAUGGAUCCGCGCUGCAUUAGCUAGUUGGUAAGGUAACGGCUUACCAAGGCAACGAUGCAUAGCCGACCUGAGAGGGUGAUCGGCCACACUGGAACUGAGACACGGUCCAGACUCCUACGGGAGGCAGCAGUAGGGAAUCUUCCGCAAUGGGCGAAAGCCUGACGGAGCAACGCCGCGUGAGUGAUGAAGGUCUUCGGAUCGUAAAACUCUGUUAUUAGGGAAGAACAUAUGUGUAAGUAACUGUGCACAUCUUGACGGUACCUAAUCAGAAAGCCACGGCUAACUACGUG
rnacentral:rRNA from 1 species